rnacentral:rRNA from 1 species
AUUGAACGCUGGCGGCAGGCCUAACACAUGCAAGUCGAGCGGCAGCGGGAAAGUAGCUUGCUACUUUUGCCGGCGAGCGGCGGACGGGUGAGUAAUGCCUGGGGAUCUGCCCAGUCGAGGGGGAUAACUACUGGAAACGGUAGCUAAUACCGCAUACGCCCUACGGGGGAAAGCAGGGGACCUUCGGGCCUUGCGCGAGUGGAUGAAGCCAGGUGGGAUUAGCUAGUUGGUGAGGUAAUGGCUCACCAAGGCGACGAUCCCUAGCUGGUCUGAGAGGAUGAUCAGCCACACUGGAACUGAGACACGGUCCAGACUCCUACGGGAGGCAGCAGUGGGGAAUAUUGCACAAUGGGGGAAACCCUGAUGCAGCCAUGCCGCGUGUGUGAAGAAGGCCUUCGGGUUGUAAAGCACUUUCAGCGAGGAGGAAAGGUUGGUAGCUAAUAACUGCCAGCUGUGACGUUACUCGCAGAAGAAGCACCGGCUAACUCCGUGCCAGCCGCCGCCGUAAAAC